AAGAAUGUCGCAACAAAUCCCAAUGAGGAGAAAUAUCGCAAAAUUAGACUUAGCAAUGCUGCUUUUCAGGAUAGAAUCGGCAAGGUGCAAGGAGGCAUUGAGUUUCUUGAGCACUGCGGAUUCGGAAAAAAUUGAAGGGGGUGAAUUCUUGUAUCUGCCAAGAGAAAAGGUUGACAUGGAAGUGCUUAAUACUGCUCGAACUGAGUUGAACAAUGCAAUUAAAGAUCCCUUCUUUGGAGUCCUCUAAUCUUAUAAUGCAUUAGUUCAGGCAAAUAGUGAAAAAUGCUUUGUCCAACUCUUCCUCCCUUUCUUUAUUCAAGGUACCUUAGUUAUAUAAACAGAAACUGUAAAAACUACUAUGAGGUUGAUAGAUGGAUGUUCCUUUUUGAACUAUUUUUUUAUUUAUCUAUAAGCUGAAAUUUGGGAAAAAUCACACAAAGACUUAAACAAACUAAUCACAUGCAGAAGACAUAGUGCUCAUACCUCCAAAAUGGAUUAAUUCAGUUCAAACAAAGAAAAGGUUCAGUAGUCGAGUGAACAGUAAAACUAUUUUUCCAAAACAGAGGGUCGUGCCAUCUAUCAUGAACAAACUCGACUGAUGGUUCAAAGCACUGGACGGGAUUGAAGAAACUUAGCUUAGAUCUCACAAUGACAAUCAGACAGAGGACUAACACGGCUAAACAACUAGAUAUGCUGUCAACAAUGAAGUAAAAUAUCCAAGCAACAUUAUCAUUUCUAUGCUAAAACAAAUUCAACUAAACUGGUAAUUGACACAUGCAGAAAGAAUAACACCAAAUAUAGAACAAAGAAAGAAUCAGAGAGGAAACUGAAACUAACUUCGAUUAAUAACACCUCAACAGCUACAAUGAUUCACAAAAAAAUAUUAUAAGCAUGAAUAACAAAUAUAUGAAUAAAGAAAUUGAAAAAAAAUAUUAAGGUAAAAUGAAAUAUCAAUUGUUUAAUGUCGUCCUUUCAUAAUUACACUCAUUGGCAAGGAGUAGUAUGACUUAGAGACUUGAUAAAGCGCCCAUAAAGCGAGGAGAAGCGUUCAACGUAUUUUGAGCCUCGCUUCAGGGCAUAAGCGCGCCUUUGACAAUAUUGUUAACAAGUAAAAGAAACAUAAUUUUUACAAGAAUCAUGAAAGAAAUUUCUGGACUUGCUGUCAAUCUCUCUCAAGUUUCAGCUCAAAUUGUGCCAACUUCAAAUGGCAUUAUUUCCAGCUAUCUAACUUACAUGGAAAUAGAAGGGAAAAGAAUCAAGAAAAGGAACUUAUCUGCUGGCAAGUCCGCAGGGCCUGAGAGGGACACACUCAUCCCACCAGUUUUGGUUUUUGUUACUCCAUUAUCACUAGACAUACACGAUCCUGUCAGAGAGAAUUUCAAAUCGACCCUGCAAAAAGCUUGAAUCAUAAGUUAGAUUACUAGGCAUUAUCUAAGUAAGAAAGUUUACCCAUAACUAUUUCAUUGGACUGGUUCGACGCGGGAUAAAGGAACAAUACUUCACUAUACAAACUAUAGAAAUUAGACAGCAUGUCUCACCAAAAAUGACUGAACUCUAUAUUUUACAUGUCAAUGGCAGACAUCAAUACAAUAAUGUUCAAACUAAAAGGAAAAAGAUACAGAAGUGGCAGAGUGCCUUGGCACAAUAACAAAUUUAAUCCAUAUCGACCUGCAUGUCAAAGCUUCAAAACAGACUAAUGAUAAUGCGGCUCAAGGCUGUAUGCUUCGAAGAAUUUGCAUAAAAGCAAACAUCUAGAGUAUUUCACUUCCCUUUUAAAGACGAGGAGGAGAUCAAGCAGAAUACAAAUAUCACUCGCUGCACCUGUAAAUGAAAUGAAAUAAAACCCACAGAAUUAAUAGAAAAAUCUAGCAAGUCUAAAAUAGUAAGUUGAACAAAGGAACACUAACUGAUGAUUGGAACACUUCAUCUCUUAAGAAAGUCGUAAAGAUAAUCAAAUCUUGCAUUCAAGAAAUGAAAUUGUCAGCGCUCAUAUACAAGCACAGCUGAAGCAGAUAAAGAGAAUAUGAUUAUUUGAAGAAAAACUAACAAAUUUCAAGCUAAUACUCCUAGAAUUACCUUGGACCACCAUAAAACAAUUCCUUCUCAUCUCACCGCGGAGGCUGAAGUGAAUAACCCAUGAGCUCUUCUACUCAAAAUGGCUCAGAGAGAUGGCCUCAUCAUUAAAAUAGCUUGUUGAAUCAUCAAUGCCAACUCAAUCGCACCGAUCCAACUUAAGUUGGUGGUGGAAAAUAUUACCCAAAAUAACUCAGCGAAAUUGAAUAAUUUGUAGAAUAGUCGUGAACAGAUUGAUGUUGAAAUCGUCACUUUGAACAAUGAAAUCAAGAAUAGAUUUUGAUGAAACACCAGAACUAGUUGUCCUCUCUACCCUUUCGGGUAAGCUAAGGGUCGUCUAAUAUUAACUCCCCAGACCCCACCUGGUGAAAAUAUACUAGGUAGUUAUUGUUGUUGUUGUUGAGAGAAAGUUGAGAGAUAGAGAGCGAACCCUAAUACCUAAAUGACGACUUGGGGAAUAUUUUUAAGUGUUUCAAUUUUUUAAAUUUUAUUUCUAGUUUUCUAUCGCUUUAUAAUUAUAAAAAUAUUAAAAGUUUAGAAGUAAGUUUAGGCGGCACCUCAAAUCUCAUACUCCCACUCUAUUCUGCAUAUUAGGGACGAGAAUUAUAUAAUUAUAGGGACGAGAUUAAGUCUCGUCGUUAUUUUUCUAGAAUUAGGUAUCAUAAAUAAAACUAGUCUCUAUAAGUAUACUUUUAGCGACCAGAUUUCAAUUUCGUCACUAGAUUUUGGUCGCUAAUGAGCCUUUUUUUUAUAGUU
rnacentral:lncRNA from 1 species